GGGUUCCACAGACCUGAGCCUUUCUUCCCUGCUUUCCUUGGGGUCCCCAGAGAGUAUGUCUGCCUGCGACCAACGUCUGUCCUGUUUUGCAGCUUUGCAGCAUCCUUGGUAAAUCUGAAACAGAUGCCAAAGAGAUGCUGCCUGAUCCACCGAUUUCUUCAGCCUUUUGUGUGUGUUGCUACAGAUUUCUAGCAUCUUCUGAAUCUCUUGUAUCUGGUGUUCCAUGGCUGGGCAGUUUACAGAAAAUGCCAGGUGUAGGAUGCAUUUAAUGCCAUUCAUACCAAAAACCCAAUGUUGGUUGAGAUGAUCUUUGAAUCACAUCCUCCAAUAGAUGAUCCCUACUGCUUCACUGAAGAUGCUGAGCUCUCAAUUGAUGGUGAGUAAAUAAAUACACUCAAAAACUUCUGUAGAUAUACCAUGGAGAGCAUUCUGACAGGCUGCAUUACUGCCUGGUAUUUGGGGGGGGGCUACUGUACAGGACCAAAAGAAGCUGAAGAGACCUGUAAAUUUAGUUGGCUCCAUCUUGGGUACUAGCCUACAAAGUACCCAGGAUAUCUUCAAGUGUCUCAGAAAGGCAGUGUCCAUUAUUAAAGACCUUCAGCACCCAGGGCAUGCCCUUUUCUCACUGUUACCAUCAGGUAGGAGGUACAGAAGCCUGAAGGCACACACUCAGCGAUUCAGGAACAGCUUCUUCCCCUCUGCUAUCCGAUUCCUAAAUAGACAUUGAAUCCUUGAACACUACCUCACUUUUUAAAUAUAUAUUUCUGUUUUUUGCAUGAUUUUAAUCUAUUCAAUAUACAUAUAACAUAAUUGAGUUAUUUAUUAUUUUCUAUUUUAUGUAUUGCAUUGAACUGCUGCUGCCAAGUUAACAAA